ACGGCGUUGAGAUGCCACCGCUGCCCGGUCCAGGAGGCCGGACCUAGGAUUUCUCCCGGUGCUUGAGGAGGAGGUCCGGUCAAGGGUCAUGCCAACGCCUCCAAGGAGGUGACGGCACCCUCGGGCGUCGCCGUUGACAGCGCAGGCCGACGCUGCGCGGGGAUUUCGCCCCGACCCAUGAGCAAGGACCUCAGAUGCAGAUGCAGACCGGACAUGACGAAGAACGUUGGAG
rnacentral:lncRNA from 1 species